rnacentral:rRNA from 1 species
AGAUUGAACGCUGGCGGCAUGCCUUACACAUGCAAGUCGAACGGCAGCACGGGAGCAAUCCUGGUGGCGAGUGGCGAACGGGUGAGUAAUACAUCGGAACGUGCCCAGUAGUGGGGGAUAACCCGGCGAAAGCCGGACUAAUACCGCAUACGACCUACGGGUGAAAGCAGGGGAUCGCAAGACCUUGCGUUAUUGGAGCGGCCGAUGUCAGAUUAGCUUGUUGGCGGGGUAAAAGCCCACCAAGGCGACGAUCUGUAGCUGGUCUGAGAGGACGACCAGCCACACUGGGACUGAGACACGGCCCAGACUCCUACGGGAGGCAGCAGUGGGGAAUAUUGCGCAAUGGGCGAAAGCCUGACGCAGCGACGCCGCGUGGGGGAUGAAGGCCUUCGGGUUGUAAACCCCUUUCAGCAGGGACGAAGCGAAAGUGACGGUACCUGCAGAAGAGCGCCGGCUAACUACGUGCCAGCAGCCGC